rnacentral:rRNA from 1 species
AGUGAACGCUGGCGGUAGGCCUAACACAUGCAAGUCGAACGGCAGCACAGGAGAGCUUGCUCUYUGGGUGGCGAGUGGCGGACGGGUGAGGAAUACAUCGGAAUCUACUUUUUCGUGGGGGAUAACGUAGGGAAACUUACGCUAAUACCGCAUACGACCUACGGGUGAAAGCCGGGGACCUUCGGGCCUGGCGCGGAUAAAUGAGCCGAUGUCCGAUUAGCUAGUUGGCGGGGUAAGAGCCCACCAAGGCGACGAUCGGUAGCUGGUCUGAGAGGAUGAUCAGCCACACUGGAACUGAGACACGGUCCAGACUCCUACGGGAGGCAGCAGUGGGGAAUAUUGGACAAUGGGCGCAAGCCUGAUCCAGCCAUACCGCGUGGGUGAAGAAGGCCUUCGGGUUGUAAAGCCCUUUUGUUGGGAAAGAAAAGCAGCCAGUUAAU